AAAGUCGUAACAAGGUUUCCGUAGGUGAACCUGCGGAAGGAUCAUUAACAAAUCAUAAAUGCUAUGGGUGGUGGUGCGGUAGGCCGUCAGGCCUGCCGUGCUACUAGCCGUAGAUAUUGACCCGAGCUGGCAGUGAUGCCGGUUUGGUUGGGUGGGGCGCAAGCCCUGCUCGGUUGUGUAGUACUAACGUACUAACGUGCUAACGUACUACCAACCACAUAGACGCUUGUAUGUUUGACAGAGUAUCACAAUCCACAAAUUAAACAACUUUUAACAAUGGAUCUCUUGGCUCUU
rnacentral:misc_RNA from 1 species